UUCGCAAUGCCCGAAAGGGUGAUGAAGCGACGCCGCGUGCGGGAAGAAGGCCUUCGGGUUGUAAACCGCUGUCGGGAGUUAAGAAAUGCAAGGAUGUUAAUAGCAUUCUUGCUUGACUAAGGCUCCGGAGGAAGCCACGGCUAACUCUGUGCCAGCAGCCGCGGUAAUACAGAGGCGGCAAGCGUUGUUCGGAAUUAUUGGGCGUAAAGAGCACGUAGGCGGCUAUGUAAGUCGGUUGUGAAAGCCUUCCGCUCAACGGAAGAACAGCAUCCGAUACUACAUGGCUUGAGUGCGGGAGGGGAGAGUGGAACUUCUGGUGGAGCGGUGAAAUGCGUAGAUAUCAGAAGGAACGCCGGCGGCGAAAGCGGCUCUCUGGCCCAUAACUGACGCUGAGUGUGCGAAAGCUAGGGGAGCAAACGGGAUUAGAUACCCCGGUAGUCCUAGCCGUAAACGAUGGGCACUAAGUAGAGGGGUUUU
rnacentral:rRNA from 1 species